ACGAACGCUGGCGGCGUGCUUAACACAUGCAAGUCGAACGGUGAAGCGCCUUCCUUUUUGGUGGGUGUGGAUGAGUGGCGACCGGGUGAGUAACACGUGAGUAACCUGCCCCCUUCUUCUGGAUAACCGCAUGAAAGUGUGGCUAAUACGGGAUAUUCUGGGUCUGUCGCAUGAUGGGUCUGGGAAAGAUAUUGUUUCGGUGGGGGAUGGGCUCGCGGCCUAUCAGCUUGUUGGUGGGGUGAUGGCCUACCAAGGCGGUGACGGGUAGCCGGCCUGAGAGGGUGGACGGUCACACUGGGACUGAGGCACGGCCCAGACUCCUACGGGAGGCAGCAGUGGGGAAUAUUGCACAAUGGGCGCAAGCCUGAUGCAGCGACGCCGCGUGAGGGAUGGAGGCCUUCGGGUUGUGAACCUCUUUCGCCAGUGAAGCAGGCCUGCCUCGUUUGUGGGUGGGUUGACGGUAGCUGGAUAAGAAGCGCCGGCUAACUACGUG
rnacentral:rRNA from 1 species